UGUAUAUUGAUUGUCAUAUUAUUGUUGAUACGUUCUACAGCUUAUUAUAGUUAGCAGCUAUUGUUUUAGUACAUAAUUUCACUAUAUUUUACAGCAUAUCGCAACUUGCUUUUAUAGCAUAAAGCAACUUGAUUUAUACCAAGUUCUGUUGUACCCGAAACUUGAAGGAUGUCAACCCCAAAGAUGAUAGACAUGGAAGCCUUGUACAUGGCUUUUCAAGCAUGCACAUUGCCAAACGUCAUUUCUGGGCAUUUGAGGCACGCCCAGUGCCCAUGGAGGUGGAUGUCCCCGUCCCCUCCAGGAAGAGAAGGAGGGAGGAGGGGACGUGGGACAUUCGGAAGGACGCCACCUGCACAAGAAGCAUCCUCCCAGCAAAGAGGGCGAAGGCCCUCCCAACAGGCAGAAGAGACUGCAGGGCAGUGGCAUGAUGAAACCGGGCCGUGAGGAUUUCAGAAGAGCCGCCCGGAAAUAUAGGAGCCAAGACAUCAGGCCCAGGCCCAGG